GACGAACGCUGGCGGCGUGCUUAACACAUGCCAGUCGAACGGAAAGGCCCUGCUUUUGUGGGGUGCUCGAGUGGCGAACGGGUGAGUAACACGUGAGUAACCUGCCCUUGACUUUGGGAUAACUUCAGGAAACUGGGGCUAAUACCGGAUAGGAGCUCCUGUUGCAUGGUGGGGGUUGGAAAGUUUCGGCGGUUGGGGAUGGACUCGCGGCUUAUCAGCUUGUUGGUGGGGUAGUGGCUUACCAAGGCUUUGACGGGUAGCCGGCCUGAGAGGGUGACCGGCCACAAUGGGACUGAGAGACGGCGCAGACUCCUACGGGAGGCAGCAGUGGGGAAUAUUGCACAAUGGGCGGAAGCCUGAUGCAGCAACGCCGCGUGCGGGAUGACGGCCUUCGGGUUGUAAACCGCUUUCGCCUGUGACGAAGCGGGAGUGACGGUAAUGGGUAAAGAAGCACCGGCUAACUACGUG
rnacentral:rRNA from 1 species